GUUGACAUAGUCAGAAUAACUUGGAUUCCAUACUACACUUAUUCUAUCUUUAGCAAAGGACUACUCGUUGUGGUCUUUCCAGACUCUCUGGAGUCAUGAAAGUUUGAUUUGCUUCUUCAAUACAUGUUCAUCUCCAUCUAGUACAGGGAAGACAACUGAGACUGAUGGUGAGGUCAAGUUAACACCACCUUUGGAAGACACUGUCUCCUAGGACAGCUGUCUCCAAAGUUUUUUGAUCAUUCAUUCAUAUUAGUAAAAACUAUGUGAGCACUUUUCCCCCAUUUAUGACAACAAUAAUAUGUGCCUGUGAAAUGUACAAUAUGCUUGAUAUUGUUCAAACUCUUUUACAUAAAAUUCAUGAAUGAGUUUACAUAAAACUCCUUUAAUCUGCACAACAGCCCUGUAGGCGAGGUACUAUUAUUAGUCUCACUUUAUAGAUAAUAAAACUGAGUUAGAGAGAGGUGUAUAUAUGUAUACAUAAACACUGCAAAUGGAUUUCUGCAUUAUACACACACACACACGCACACACACACACACACACACACACAUACACUAUUACAAAUCUUUAAAAAAGAGUUUGAAAACUUUAACGACAAGUCUAUUACAUUUUCUAACAAAGCAAUUUUUAAAAUCUUUUCACGUGGGU
rnacentral:lncRNA from 1 species